GACGAACGCUGGCGGCGUGCCUAACACAUGCAAGUCGAACGAAGCUGCGAUGAAGGAGGCUUCGGCCAAUGGAUUCGUAGACUUAGUGGCGGACGGGUGAGUAAUGCGUGAGCAACCUGCCCUUCAGAGGGGGACAACAGUUGGAAACGACUGCUAAUACCGCAUGACAUCAUUGGGAGGCAUCUCCUGGUGAUCAAAGAUUUAUCGCUGAAGGAUGGGCUCACGUCUGAUUAGCUAGUUGGUGAGGUAACGGCUCACCAAGGCUGCGAUCAGUAGCCGGACUGAGAGGUUGAACGGCCACAUUGGGACUGAGAUACGGCCCAGACUCC
rnacentral:rRNA from 1 species